AGCUUGCUGGCCGGAUGGGACGGCAGCCGACACUCAGCCAUGGGUGGCUCGGGUAUGGAAUUCAUUAAAUUGGAAAUCAAGGGCAGGAAGGUCUCGACACAAGUGAUCCAGAAAAGGAGGAACUGCUGAGGUCAAUGUCAGUGCAAGAAAGGGAUGAGUCAUUCCUUAGCUGCAGGUCUGCAUGGAAGAGGAAGAAGUGAUUUCCCAGCCAAGGCAGCACAGACAACAGAAGCAGUGAAGAAGCAGAGCUGUGAGCUUCAGCUGCACAGGACUGCUGAGCCAGAAUACUCUAACUCAACAAGCUACCAACUUCAACUGCCUCUCAGGAAGGCUGAAAACCCCUUAAAAAAUCUUGACAACAAGCACCACGGCCUCACACCUACUGGAAAUCAACAAGGCAGAGGAAAAGGAGCCACUACAUUUGCAAGAAAUUUUAUCCAGGAAUACAAAGGCAGUGCAAAGAAACCUGCCAAGCCAGCCAGCCAGUAUGUUUCAGAAUCAGAAGGGUGACACAGCAGACAAGUCACACCAAGCAGCCAGGACCACCACGGGGAUCUGCAAGUGAAAUAGCACAUAGCUGACAACUCUUCCCCACAACAUGCUCUCACUCCUUCCUGGGAAUGACUGAUUGGUCACUUGACGGGAUCUGCAGAAAUCCCACCAGAACGUAAAAAACUUGUUUCAAAACCAAUUCCAGCUUUAAGGAAGGGACAUAAUAGUGUGGCUUGGAUACUAUAAUAAAACUGGAGAACUCAGAUUUACCAGUCUCUAUUCAGGAAGAGUCAAGAACUUUGCAAGACACAGAUCAAAUGAGCUCUGACCCCACUGGACAUGUGUGAUCUUGAGUAUUAGAUCCAUCAAUAACACAGAGUGAUGCUGCUAGGCAGCUUUUUAAAAUUAGUCAUACAUGCCCAGAAUAUAGGAAGUCAACAACCAAAAUUCAGAAAAAAGGGACAGAGAAGGCCACACUGGGUCAGAGGAUUUGGCACUGGAAGGAUUCCUCUGAGACUGGAUUUUCAAAGUAUGCAAAGUAUGCAAAGUAUGUUGGAGUGCAAAUACAUCUCCCAUUUAAGUGACCUGUGAGUGCCUAAGAGUUUGGAGAGAUGUUCUCCUCUGCACUGCAUCUGCCUACUGAACUUUAAAAUAACACCUCCCUCUGCCUGCUGAGCCAGCCCCCUCCCCACAACACUCCAGUAACUUCACUAAGCAUGUCCCCCCUCCUCUGGGUGCCCAGAACAUUCUCCUGGAACUGACAGGGAAUUCUGUCUGAUGCUCUUCCUCAUUAAAGUUCUCACUCCCUUUAAUUUGGCAAGUCUAAGGCAUUAUGUAAAGGGACUCCAAACGUGGAAAAACUAAAAAAAUUAUUAAAUUAUCCGGAUCAUGCCUUUGCUGCUUGAGAAUAAGGAUUUUUUUCUUCCAUGAGAAUUACUUUACUUCUUUGCUUGGCUGAUACCUGCAUGAAGGAGCUAUCAGGAACAUUUGUUGAGAAAAUUAGCAACUGUGUCUCAAGAAUGCACUGAAAUUAUUGACUCUUGCAAAGAUGAUUUUCUAAAAGCUGGUUAUUUAGGCCAUGUGCAGCCUGCACGAACAAUCUUCUCUGGCAGGAAAUGCAAGAAUUUUUCUAUAUCAGGUUCUCAUCUGCUUCUCAGAAAUUUCCCAAUCAGUACUUAAGAACAAGGUAAUUUUUUAAUCAAAAGCCUAUUCGGUGAGCUGUCUGCCCCCAGGUCCAUCUCAUUCAUCUCUCUGGACAUGGAUUUCAGUUUUCUUCUCCAAAGAGGUUAACAGAUUGCUGUAAUUGGAUGGCCCCAAGAAAAAUGCUUUGAGCAGCAGAGCAGCCAGAAAUCAAACCCAGCCCAUGCUCUGAGCAAUGAAAGACUUUUCACUUAUUAAAUAUUGCUAACAAUGUGUUUCAAGUACUCCAGGAAACAGCAUGAUCUAAAAAUUAAUUUACUUGUAUACUGCUAUGAAAGGGUCGUCCUUGGCAUGCAGGUUAAAGCUGUCUAUAUCCCACUAGCAAUAAGCAAUAGAAAAAUAUUACUCUGACUAGUGGUUGCAUCUUUUAAACAUAUAUAAACUGCUAAAAUUCUGUAAUUAACCUGCCUCUUAUUACCUUACUGGCAACUACUACUGCCACAGAAGCACAGUUCCUAAUGUCAGCUGCUCUAUUUGCAAACAUAUCUUCUCAAUUAUUUUCUAAAAUUAUUUUCUGAAAAUGCACAAAUAAGAAAAGAUGUCUUGUCUGACCUCUAACCUUGUGAAAUCUGUCCUGUAUUUGUCAUCAUUAAAAAAGCACACCUGGUUCUGCAUUCUUCCUGUGUUUUCAUUUGCAGUGUUUGUUUUAGGAGUUUUAACAAGGUUAGAAGGUGUAAUUACUGUAAUUACAAAAAAGCAAAAAACCAAACCAAUUUUCAACUAAUUAUGCACAGAGAGUUAAAACAGAUGUCUGAACAACAUGCAAGGCUGUAUGAAGCAUCACA